UGGGGAAUAUUGGACAAUGGGGGCAACCCUGAUCCAGCCAUGCCGCGUGAGUGAUGAAGGCCCUAGGGUUGUAAAGCUCUUUUGUGCGGGAAGAUAAUGACGGUACCGCAAGAAUAAGCCCCGGCUAACUUCGUGCCAGCAGCCGCGGUAAUACGAAGGGGGCUAGCGUUGCUCGGAAUCACUGGGCGUAAAGGGUGCGUAGGCGGGUCUUUAAGUCAGGGGUGAAAUCCUGGAGCUCAACUCCAGAACUGCCUUUGAUACUGAGGAUCUUGAGUCCGGAAGAGGUGAGUGGAACUGCGAGUGUAGAGGUGAAAUUCGUAGAUAUUCGCAAGAACACCAGUGGCGAAGGCGGCUCACUGGUCCGGUACUGACGCUGAGGCACGAAAGCGUGGGGAGCAAACA
rnacentral:rRNA from 1 species